rnacentral:tRNA from 4 species
GCCGAGGUGGUGGAAUUGGUAGACACGCUAUCUUGAGGGGGUAGUGCCCGUAUGGGCGUGCGGGUUCAAGUCCCGCUCUCGGCACCA